CGCGCGAGAGUUAAGUCGAGCAAGAAACCGUGGCUUCCUUCCAAAGGUUUCUCUCCCGUUCCGGAUCGGCUCCGUGACGGAGCAUAGCACGUGCUCGUUCGACCAAUAUAUCGCGUUCAACGCCGAUCGAAUAGAGGUCUAGUGACAUUUACGUUGUUGCGCGCCAAUCUCGUUCAGAGAUAACAUAUUUAGAUCGUUCGAUGCGAAAGCGGAGUGUGGAGUGAAUGAUGUCGAAGGACGCCAGCUAUUAUAUAUAAAGUUAUUCCUUGUCAAAUAUAGUGGAAUUUCAUCUUCCGGAAGCUGGUGUUCAACCAGGCUACGAACUUUAACACUAAAUGAAUUAUUUUGUGUUUGAAUAUUGGACACUUUAUAUAUUUUUGUCGCAGUUUUGCUUCUUGAGGAAAGUAUGUUAGAUACCAACGAAACAAUAAAAAUUUGAAAACUGGAUGGAUAAACCAUUGAACUUCUCUUAUUUUUCGACCUAAUAGACGAUAAGGUCUUGGAAACCGGAUGAGGAUAUUCAUAUGACAUCAUUGCACGAGCUGCUGUAUCUCUUCGAAACUCGAUAGACGCACGUACACGUCGGACCUAACUCAAAGAAAUUCAUAUCUUGAAAGUUCACGAAGAGCAAGAUGCAAGGGAAGUUGAAAUACUUUCAACGGUUAACAACCCGAAGAAGAACGGCGAUUUUCCACGGUACGAGUGAACGGUACGAGAGACGGAUGAAGACGGACGAGAUGGUGUAUCGCGUAACAUGUGGCGACAUUGUUGCACACUGCGGCGAUGUAACAACUUUCGCGGAGGAACGUAUGGGCGUGUUCGCCUGCCAAAAGAAAAUCGUGUUUGAUUCUUCCGCGCGAUAGAUACGCGACACGAGGUUGCGUUGCGUACACGCCGGCUUAAAUAAAUGAUCGCCGCUUUCGCGCACACUGACGAGACAUCGUUAUAAUUCUCUUUAAACGAUACAGCAGCCCGUAUAAAAACGGUCAUAUCGAUGCGUCGGCCGCAUUACAUCCCAUCGGGAGGGACGAGAAAGUUUAUCUUCCGAACGAAUCUCACGGCGCGUACGUAUCGUUUAUAACUUUUUAAAUAUCGUCGAGGCGUUAUCGGCCCGUUUAAUCAAUUUUCCUAGGUCGUCACGUACCUAUUUAAAUUAUAUAAACAGCAGCUGUCGUCAGCAUUCUGCAGAAUGGAGCCUGGCCGAUACCUAAAACAGAGAAAUUCACGGUUGUCACUCGAACUCGAUACUGAUUGCGAGUACAUUUAUUUCGAUUCGGUGGAACGAAUCGACAAGAUUGCAGGACGAUGCGCGUGGGUUUGAGAGUUCUCGCGUACAGUUUCAAUUCGAAUAGCAAUGCAAACAACGUGAUGAAAAUAAUGUAUUGUGUAAGUGUGAACAAUCGUGAGUACAGUGUCUCUUCACGAAAAUAUUCGAACGAGAUAUUAUAGACGAAAUUUUUAUUUAUGCAUAACGUGUGAAAUUGUAUCGAGAUUCUAUGUAUUAUUUAUAAAAAAAUUCCUCGAAUAUAUUCGCGAGCAACUUUACACGGACACUUUGGUCGAGUGUAAAUAUCAUGCGUUGAUAACGUUCAUCAUCAAAUAUCUUAAAUAUUCUUCCACUAUUCUUCCAAAAUUUUCUGCUCCCAAAAGAUACCCUCCAGUUCAAAGUUCAGCUGUGCAAAUUAUCCCGGCAUCAUCUUCAAUAUGAAAUGCAUUAUCAAAAAUCAGACGCUGAUGGCAAGAUUUCAACGACUU